GCUUGUCUCAAAGAUUAAGCCAUGCAUGUCUAAGUAUAACUCUUUUACUUUGAAAACUGCGAACGGCUCAUUAUAUCAGUUAUAGUUUCUUUGAUAGUCCCUUACUACUUGGAUACCCGUAGUAAUUCUAGAGCUAAUACAUGCAUCAAUACCCAACUGUUCGCGGAAGGGUAGUAUUUAUUAGGUAUAGACCAACCCUCCUCGGAGGUGCUUUGGUGAUUCAUAAUAACUUAUCGGAGCUCAUGGCCUUGUGCCGGAGCCAGGUCAUUCAAAUUUCUGCCCUAUCAGCUUUCGAUGGUAGUGUAGUGGACUACCAUGGCUUUAACGGGUGACGGAGAAUUAGGGUUCGAUUCCGGAGAGGGAGCCUGAGAAACGGCUACCACAUCCAAGGAAGGCAGCAGG
rnacentral:rRNA from 1 species